GGAGCAUCUGAGACAGGUGGUGCAUGGUUGUCGUCAGCUCGUGUCGUGAGAUGUUGGGUUAAGUCCCGCAACGAGCGCAACCCUUGUCCAUAGUAGCCAGAAGUAAGAUGGGNACUCUAUGGAGACUGCCCGGGAUAACCUGGAGGAAAGUGGGGAUGACGUCAAAUCAUCAUGCCCCUUAUGAUCUGGGCCACACACGUGCUACAAUGUGGUAACAAAAGGAAGCGAAGGAGCGAUNCGGAGCAAAUCUCCCAAAUAACGACCCCCUUCUGACUGUAGGCUGCAACCCCCCUGCACCAAAAUGGAAUCNUAUUAAUCNCCGAUCANCAUGCUGCGGUGAAUAAAUUCCCCGGGC
rnacentral:rRNA from 1 species